rnacentral:rRNA from 1 species
UACGUAGGGGGCAAGCGUUGUCCGGAAUCAUUGGGCGUAAAGCGCGUGUAGGCGGUUCAGUAAGUCUGCUGUGAAAGUCCAGGCUCAACCUUGGGAUGCCGGUGGAUACUGCUGGGCUAGAGUACGGAAGAGGCGAGUGGAAUUCCCGGUGUAGCGGUGAAAUGCGCAGAUAUCGGGAGGAACACCAAUUGCGAAGGCAGCUCGCUGGACGUCGACUGACGCUGAGACGCGAAAGCGUGGGGAGCAAACAGGG